ensembl:lncRNA
CUAGGUCCAGGCUAGGACCAGGCUAGGACCAGGCUAUGGAUAGGACCAGGCUAGGUCCAGGCUAGGACCAGGCUAGGACCAGGAUAGGACCAGGCUAUGGUUAGGACCAGGCUAUGGUUAGGACCAGGCUAUGGUUCGGACCAGGUUAUGGAUAGGACCAGGCUAUGGUUAGGACCAGAAUAGGAUCAGGCUAUGGUUAGGACCAGGCUAUGGAUAGGACCAGGCUAGGACCAGGAUAGGAAUAGGCUAGGACCAGGCUAUGGAUAGGACCAGGCUAGGACCAGGCUAGGACCAGGCUAUGGAUAGGACCAGGCUAGUACCAGGCU